rnacentral:rRNA from 1 species
UACGGGGGGGGGCAAGCGUUGUCCGGAAUUAUUGGGCGUAAAGCGCGCGCAGGUGGUUUCUUAAGUCUGAUGUGAAAGCCCACGGCUCAACCGUGGAGGGUCAUUGGAAACUGGGGAACUUGAGUGCAGGAGAGAAGAGUGGAAUUCCACGUGUAGCGGUGAAAUGCGUAGAGAUGUGGAGGAACACCAGUGGCGAAGGCAGCUCGCUGGGACGUGACUGACGCUGAGACGCGAAAGCGUGGGGAGCAAACAGG